GUGGGGUUAGCUCAGUUGGUUAGAGUGUGGUGCUAAUAAUGCCAAGGUCACAGGUUCAAUCCCUGCUUACUGCA
rnacentral:tRNA from 1 species